AGAGUUUGCAGAAUACAUAAUUUCAGAUGAAUUGGACCAUAGAAUUUAAGUGAUGGAAUCGUCUUAUAUGACUUAUAUGAUCUCUAGGACAUCACUCUAGAGUUCAUUCGACUGUAUCAUGUGGUUAACCCGGGUGUUCGAGCAUGACAAUAUACUUUUUUGAACAGCCAAUAAAUCCCAAAAAUUUGGAUGAGCACACCGGUUAUCUUUGAAAUGGAACUUCUUCAUGAAUCAAAUUAUUUACUCAUAGUAGUGUAUGCUUCUAGAGUGUUACAUAUAGAUCUAUGACCUAAAAGCUUUAAAGCGCAGAGAGAGAGAGAGAGAGAGAGAGAGAGAGAGAGAG
rnacentral:lncRNA from 1 species